rnacentral:lncRNA from 1 species
AGCCAGGAAACACAGAUUUGGGACUUAGACACAAAGAAGGUAUCUUUGAAUCCAUCUGUGUAGAUGAUGUGUUUAAUACAUAUUGUGUGGCUUCAUUACACCGUCGAGCCAUUGUGACUUCCGUUUGCUGUUUUCAUGCAAUAUGAUGCUUGUUUUUUAAUUGGCUUCUACCAAUUUUCCCCCAAAAGAUAAUUUCUUUGAUCAACACAUUGGCUGACUAUUGAUUCAUACAUUUCUAUUUAUUUAUAGAGAGAGGAGCAGAGGACCAAGAUUUGUAUACGCAGGAAAUUUUACCAAUUAUCCAGACUAUAAAGCAGCUUCGAUGUGACAGAUGCUUCUUUGAACCAGUGGUUUCUUCCUGCUCUGAACUCAUGGCUCUGCCUACUGCACCAUUCAUCGGAAUCAAGCAGAUUGAAUCCAGGUUCAGACUUCUCCCACCAUUGCAUCAACUAUAAGUUCCUGGAAGGUGUGGACUCAGAGCUUUGCUGACAACAACCACCUUUUCUCUUGGUCUCCAUACUUGAAGUUAUUCCAACCAUGUGGCCUGGUUUGGAGUUCAGAAAAGAUGGUCUUUGUAGCUGUACAGUGCUUUGAAUAGAACAAGCUUCAGUAAACAUUUGUGGAA